CCUACGGGGGGCAGCAGUGGGGAAUAUUGCACAAUGGGGGAAACCCUGAUGCAGCGACGCCGCGUGAGUGAAGAAGUAAUUCGUUAUGUAAAGCUCUAUCAGCAGGGAAGAAAAUGACGGUACCUGAGUAAGAAGCCCCGGCUAACUCCGUGCCAGCAGCCGCGGUAAUACGGAGGGGGCAAGCGUUAUCCGGAUUUACUGGGUGGAAAGGGAGCGUAGACGGCGGGGCAAGUCUGGAGUGAAAGGCGGGGGCUCAACCCCCGGACUGCUCUGGAAACUGUACGGCUGGAGUGCAGGAGAGGGGAGUAGAAUUCCAGGUGUAGCGGUGAAAUGCGUAGAUAUUAGGAGGAACACCAGUGGCGAAGGCGGCUUACUGGACUGUAACUGACGUUGAGGCUCGAAAGCGUGGGGAGCAAACAGGAUUAGAUACCCGGGUAGUC
rnacentral:rRNA from 1 species